UAGAUUGGUUGUUCGCUUAACCAAGGAGUAUGGAGACGUUAGUAUGACAUGCAGAUAAAAUGUAGGAGUACAUUUCACUAAACGUGACCAACUCCGGAGCACUCUGCUGUCAAGAGUCAUUUCGAAGGGAUAAAGGUAUAAGUGUCCCUCCAACUUGAGAUCACCACGGUGACUUGCAAUCAACUCAUUGUGCUUUAGUGCCAGACUACCUAAAUUUUUAACUCA
rnacentral:lncRNA from 1 species